rnacentral:rRNA from 1 species
UGACCUCGGAUCAGGUAGGAAUACCCGCUGAACUUAAGCAUAUCAAUAAACGGAGGA